AUUGAACGCUGGCGGCAUGCCUUACACAUGCAAGUCGAACGGCAGCACGGGAGCUUGCUCCUGGUGGCGAGUGGCGAACGGGUGAGUAAUGCAUCGGAACGUAUCCUGGAGUGGGGGAUAACGUAGCGAAAGUUACGCUAAUACCGCAUAUUCUGUGAGCAGGAAAGCGGGGGACCUUCGGGCCUCGCGCUCUUGGAGCGGCCGAUGUCGGAUUAGCUAGUUGGUGAGGUAAAGGCUCACCAAGGCGACGAUCCGUAGCAGGUCUGAGAGGAUGAUCUGCCACACUGGAACUGAGACACGGUCCAGACUCCUACGGGAGGCAGCAGUGGGGAAUUUUGGACAAUGGGGGCAACCCUGAUCCAGCCAUGCCGCGUGAGUGAAGAAGGCCUUCGGGUUGUAAAGCUCUUUCGCGAGGGAAGAAAUUGCACCGGAUAAUACCUGGUGUAGAUGACGGUAC
rnacentral:rRNA from 1 species